rnacentral:lncRNA from 1 species
AUUUCAGCCCUGAGGAGAGACACUAAGUCUCUCUGGAACCUUAGGAAUGAGGCUGAGUGUGCUUGGGGUUUUCACUAAAGAUAACACUAUAUAUAUAGUGUAUUAUAUAGAGGUUAUGUUUUGUAAAUGACUUUAUAUACAUUCAUUUCUAUAUUUGGUCCUCACCUCCCUGUGAAAUAGCUAUCCAUGUGGCAGAUGAGGAAAGGAGGGAUACAGGAGUUAAAGGACUGCCCAGAACCAUACUGCUAGUUAGUGGCAAAGCUAGGACUCAGACUUAUAUUGGCUGAUUCCAUAUAAAUGUAUUACAGGGGACAAGAAUCAUCUCCCUUUGUAAUUGACGGAGUGGAUGCACAGCUAUGCUUGAAGCCUCAGUGUGGGUGGAAUGUCAAGGAGAGAGAUGUGUGAAAAUUUAAAGGAGAAUUAACCAGAGGGGGAUUGAAGAAAUUUCCUGGAGAUCUCACUGAUCUGGAGAUUCCUGGGAGAGUGAGUGAGAAAUGAACCUCGAGGAGAAACUGACCUCUAAUGCAGAGGGUGGAAGAGGAGGACGCUGGAGAAAGAGCAGCUUCGGCGGCCAUUGCAUUCCCUCCCUCCCAGAUCUGUCCUCCUAUCAGAAGCGGUGCCAGAACCAGCCCCACAAUGGGGGUUUCACCCAAGGGCCCCAACCUAAUAUGGGGUGCAUGCUUUCUCAUGGGGCUUGGUGGACUACCCUGUCCUGUCCUACAAGCCCGAUGGCCUAUAGUGGAACUGUAUGCUGUGCAGUGCCUUGCCUUACCUACUCAACUGGUUUGCUUUACGUGCAGUUUCUGCUAGUUAUAGCUCUGAUCAGAAGGAUGCAAAGUCACCCGGAGCAUGAUGACAACCACCCCAGCAGCCCAAGAACUCUCCAGAAUCUUCGAUUUGAGUCACACUUCACUUAUUCAUGAUUGGGACUGGAGAAGGGUGAAGAGCUUGUAAGGAAGAAGUAAGCUGAUGGGAUUUUCAUUGUUUUUUUUCCAGAAGCCAUAGAUUAAAAAGGGUGACUUCUCCCUGGCCUCUCAGGGGGGAUUCAUCAUUGCCCUGAAACUCCAAUAACAGACUUUCUCCUGCCCUAUACAAACUUUUGACCUUAUUUAAACUACUGGAAUCCUAAUUACUAAGACAGCUAUACAUACUACACUCCUGUCAGAACUCAACAUUUAUUUAUAAAACUUAAUUUGAAGUCCCAGCCCAGGUUCUGGUUUAUUUGGAAGUAACUUGGAUCCCUCAGGCAGACAGUGAAGAAGAAAGGAAUGAUUUGGAUUUUUCACUAGCAGCACUGUCACUGUGUGCCAGGACACAGAAAAAGAGUUCACUGACCAGGAGCCAACCCUGAUGUUAUCUCAAAGAGAAGCUAAACCCCAGGCCUUUCCAGAAGGCAGAAGAAGGUGAAGCUAGGAUAGCAGUUCCUGAUAGACUGUUGAGAGCAGCUCCCUAUGUUUCUCACUCCAGAGGCUCUCAUUGAGUAUUUGCAGUGUGAGAUGAAGGAGUGUUAUGGAUGCGUGAUGGGACAUCACUAGGAAAAAAAGAAAAAGACAAAGCAUCAUCAUCACAGACCCUGCAUUCAUUCACAUCAUCUUUAGGGCAGGGGUGGGGAACCUGCGGCCAGCAGGCCACAUGUGGCCCUCUAGGUCCUCAGGUGUGGGCCUUUGACCAAAUCCAAACUUCACAGAACAAAUCCCCUUAAUAAAAGGAUUUGUUCUGUAAAACUUGGGCUCA